rnacentral:ncRNA from 1 species
CUUGUCGGGGCGCCUUUAUGGCUGAGAUAGGCUACUGCCUUGUCCCGUUGAACCUGAUCAGGUUAAUACCUGCGUAGGGAACAAGUUGG